rnacentral:rRNA from 1 species
CCAGUAGUGAUAUGCUUGUCUCGAAGAUUAAGCCAUGCACGUGUAAGUACGAGCCAACUUGAAAAAAAUACGGUGAGACUGCGGAAGGCUCAUUAUCUCAGUCGUAGUUCCUUAGAUCGUCCGCGACCUGUGGUAUAACUGUAGAAAAUCUAGAGCUAAUACAUGCACGAGUACAGCGCCGAUCCCCGGAGAGGCGCGCGUUUAUUAGACCAAGACCGGCGCCGGGGCCCCGUGUCCCGGCCACUCCGUGUUGACUCUGGAUAACAUUGCCGAUCGCCCGGCCUCGCUGCCGGCGACGUAUCUUUCAAAUGUCUGACCUAUCAGCUGGUUGGCCGUAGAGGUGACGGCCACGGGAUUGACGGGUAACGGGGAAUCAGGGUUUGAUUCCGGAGAGGGAGCCUGAGAAACGGCUACCACUUCUAAGGAAGGCAGCAGGCGCGCAAAUUACCCACUCUCGACUCGAGGAGGUAGUGAAGAGAAAUAACGUGACGCUAACCCCAAGAGGCUGCGUUGGGGAAUGAGACCCGUUUAAAGCCUUGUCUGAUGACCCAGUAGAGGGCAAGUCUGGUGCCAGCAGCCGCGGUAAUUCCAGCUCUAUAAGCAUAUGCGGGAGUUGCUGCAGUUAAAAAGCUCGUAGUUGGAGGUCGACUGGGCGGCGGUGGGUGCGGGUCAGAGCUAUCCGUCUAUCCCCGUCGCUGGUCUGGGGCCCAGGCGGGUGAAUCCCCUUGGAUGGGCGUGCGCCCGUUGGCCCACAUUACUUUGAAAAAAUUAGGGUGUUUCAGGCAGGCUGAAUAUGGGCUUGGAUAGUCUAACAUGGAAUAACAGUUAAUUGAACUCCGGUUCCCUUCUCUGCUGGUCUACGGAACUUGCGAGCCAUGGCUAAGAGGGACAGACGGGGGCGGAAGUACUACGGCGUGAGAGGUGAAAUUCCAGGACCGCCGUAAGACUAACGAACGCGAAAGCAUUCGCCCAGAAUGUUUUCAUUAGUCAAGAACGAAAGUUGGUGUAGCGAAGAGGAUCAGAUACCCUCCUAGUACUGACCGUAAACGAUGCCAACAGGAGGCCGGCGGAAGUAACUUGCAUUGUGGGACUUGGCACCGUCGGAACCCCGCGGGAAACCCGAGUGUUUGGGUUCUGGGGGUAGUAUGGUUGCAAAGCUGAAACUUAAAGGUAUUGACGGAAGGGCACCACAAGGAGUGGAGCUUGCGGCUUAAUUUGACUCAACGCGGGGCAACUCACCCGGUCCGGACACCGCGGGGAUUGACAGAUUGAUAGCUCUUUCUUGAUUCGGUGGGUGGUGGUGCAUGGCCGUUCUUAGUACGUGGUGCAAACUGUCAGGUUAAAUCCGCUAACGUACGCGACUCUAGCCUAUUUACUAGAGCUGGACGAUGAUAAUAAGUCGCCGAUGCGAGGAACUUCUUAGGGGGAUCCAUUGCGUGGGAGAAGCGGAUGAAAUAGAGCAAUAACAGGUCUGUGAUGCCCUUAGAUGUUCGGGGCCGCACGCGCGCUACACUGAAAAGGAAAGAGGGUGUCCGAGUAUGAGCCGGGCGCGCGAGCCGCCUUAGAGAAAUCUUAGAAACCUUAUCGUGCUAGGGAUUAGGGUUUGGAACUGUUGCCUAUCAACGAGGAAUUCCAAGUAAGUGCGAGUGACUAGCUUGCGUUGAUCAAGUCCCUGCCCUUUGUACACACCGCCCGUCGCUACCACUGAGCUAGCGGCUUAGCAAGGGCGUCGAGACGCGUCCUGGGGGCUCUUGGCGUGUACGGUGCGUCGGCUUCGGUCGGCCGCCGGCCACUUUGCCGGCCUCAGGUGGGCGUGAAAGGCGUUCAAACUCGGCUGCUUCUAGGAGGUAAAAGUCGUAACAAGGUUGCCGUAGGUGAAC